UGGUCUACUGCUACUGAGGUAUUACUAGUAUUGAUGAAUAUAUUUUUGUUGAUAAUAUGGUUUCUUGCUGCUGCUUGUUGGCUGGAAGUCCCGCUCUGUUUCAUGUCAUUUCAGAAGUUGACAUCAUGACAUUUCGUUGGUUUGAGGGCAUGUGGUUUAUUUGAUUAUUAUCCAUAUGGAAAUAUGUGUGAGCAAAUUCCACUUAGUGUUGAAAAUAAACUCCUGAAACAGUAUUUCUCUGGAUCUUGCUGUUAGCUUUUGUAUUAUCCACCAAAUUGAUCCACCAUAUAUCCCUACCAUAAAAUUCCAGUGAUUCUUUUCACAAGAUUCCCUGCAUAAUUUCAUAACAUUAAUUGAUUUCCUGUUAAUUAACGAAAGACAGCUAGUGGGAGGAGAGGAUAUAUCUGCAUCAAUUCAGCAAUCCUGUCCAGAUCCUUAGCUUGGCUAAUUGGGUUUACUGCCAUUGACAAAGACUCGAGGCUCGAGAGGAAAGCAAGACACCAUCAUCAGAAUGGAAUAGUAUACCUGCACGUAUGUGGCGGGCAAAAUCUUAGUCCAGCCAAUCCAAUCAUCCUCUCCAUCAAGUUAUUCCAAGUUUGUUUUUCCUAUCACUCUGCUGUUCGUGCGUUCUACAUCAUUCGUUGCCUUUCUCUGACUGAAAUGGAGAUUCUUUCUUUCAGGGACAAAACAAGAUUAUACCAUCUGCUUUAUUGCUGCUGCCAUCUUUUUCUGCCUUGCUGAUUUCUGCU
rnacentral:lncRNA from 1 species